ensembl:snRNA U1 U1 spliceosomal RNA
AUACCUACCUGGCAGGGGAGAUACCGUGAUCAAGAGGGCGGUUCACCCAGGGCGAGACUCAGCCAUUGCACUCCGGCUGUGCUGACCCCUGCGAAUUCCCCAAAUUGUGGUGUGGUGGCCUAGGGGUUUAAGGCAGCGGCCCCGUAAUCAGAAGGUUGCCGG